rnacentral:rRNA from 1 species
CCUACGGGAGCAGCAGUGGGGAAUUUUGGACAAUGGGGGCAACCCUGAUCCAGCAAUGCCGCGUGAGUGAAGAAGGCCUUCGGGUUGUAAAGCUCUUUUGUCAGGGAAGAAACGGUGUGGGCUAAUAUCUCAUGCUAAUGACGGUACCUGAAGAAUAAGCACCGGCUAACUACGUGCCAGCAGCCGCGGUAAUACGUAGGGUGCAAGCGUUAAUCGGAAUUACUGGGCGUAAAGCGUGCGCAGGCGGUUUUGUAAGACUGUCGUGAAAUCCCCGGGCUCAACCUGGGAAUGGCGAUGGUGACUGCAAGGCUAGAGUUUGGCAGAGGGGGGUAGAAUUCCACGUGUAGCAGUGAAAUGCGUAGAUAUGUGGAGGAACACCGAUGGCGAAGGCAGCCCCCUGGGUCAAAACUGACGCUCAUGCACGAAAGCGUGGGGAGCAAACAGGAUUAGAUACCCUGGUAGUCCACGCCCUAAACGAUGUCUACUAGUUGUCGGGUUUUAAUUAACUUGGUAACGCAGCUAACGCGUGAAGUAGACCGCCUGGGGAGUACGGUCGCAAGAUUAAAACUUAAAGAUAGUACGCGNGNGAGAGCGACGACGACGACGAGGAGGAGGAG